UGGGGAAUUUUGGACAAUGGGCGAAAGCCUGAUCCAGCAAUGCCGCGUGUGUGAAGAAGGCCUUCGGGUUGUAAAGCACUUUUGUCCGGAAAGAAAUCCUCUGGGUUAAUACCUCGGGGGGAUGACGGUACCGGAAGAAUAAGCACCGGCUAACUACGUGCCAGCAGCCGCGGUAAUACGUAGGGUGCAAGCGUUAAUCGGAAUUACUGGGCGUAAAGCGUGCGCAGGCGGUUUUGUAAGACGGAUGUGAAAUCCCCCGGGGCUUAACCUGGGAACUGCAUUCGUGACUGCAAGGCUAGAGUAUGGCAGAGGGGGGUAGAAUUCCACGUGUAGCAGUGAAAUGCGUAGAGAUGUGGAGGAAUACCGAUGGCGAAGGCAGCCCCCUGGGCCAAUACUGACGCUCAUGCACGAAAGCGUGGGGAGCAAACAGGAUUAGAUACCCUGGUAGUCCACGCCCUAAACGAUGUCAACUAGUUGUUGGGGAUUCAUUUCCUUAGUAACGUAGCUAACGCGUGAAGUUGACCGCCUGGGGAGUACGGUCGCAAGAUUAAAACUCAAAGGAAUUGACGGGGUCAUAGCUGUUUCC
rnacentral:rRNA from 1 species